rnacentral:rRNA from 1 species
CAGCAGCCACGGUAACACGGAGGGGGCUAGCGUUGUUCGGAAUUACUGGGCGUAAAGCGCACGUAGGCGGCUUGGUAAGUUAGAGGUGAAAGCCUGGAGCUCAACUCCAGAAUUGCCUUUAAGACUGCCGAGCUAGCAGGUGAGAGAGGUAAGUGGAAUUCCGAGUGUAGAGGUGAAAUUCGUAGAUAUUCGGAAGAACACCAGUGGCGAAGGCGGCUUACUGGCUCAUACUGGACGCUGAGGUGCGAAAGCGUGGGGAGCAAACAGGAUUAGAUACCCCAGUAGUCCCUGUCUCUUAUAC